UACGUAGGGUGCAAGCGUUGUCCGGAAUUAUUGGGCGUAAAGAGCUCGUAGGCGGUUUGUCGCGUCUGCUGUGAAAACUCGGGGCUCAACUCCGAGCUUGCAGUGGGUACGGGCAGACUAGAGUGCGGUAGGGGAGACUGGAAUUCCUGGUGUAGCGGUGGAAUGCGCAGAUAUCAGGGGGAACACCGGUGGCGAAGGCGGGUCUCUGGGCCGUAACUGACGCUGAGGAGCGAAAGCAUGGGGAGCGAACAGG
rnacentral:rRNA from 1 species